AGAACUUAAACUGUUAUCACUUCGUUACUUGGCAUCAAAUAAUUAAUAAUAUCAUGAUUGAAAAAUUACAGAGGCCCCAAAUUAUUAAAUUUGCUCAAAUAGAUCCUCAACCUUUCAUUCUUGUCAUUUAAAUCUUUCGCCCAGGUAAUCCCCAACUACGGAACCGACCGUUCUUUAAAUGCCGAGUGCCAUUAUUCAUGGGGAAUAUGAAUAUAACAUAAAUAGUUUUAAUAGAAGCCCGACCCCAACUAUUCGCUUCCCUGAGCCACCCGGCACUCUUUUCCUAGCACGGUCCAGCCAUAGUACCUUCCCCUUGGCUUCCCCCGUCCCCUGGUCACAGCCUGCAAAAAGCGACAAGUGGAUGAAUCCAUAGGCCAAGGUUCAAGCCGAUCAGUUGGCAAUGAGAAUGCUCAUUGACAAUCUCAAAAGGCCUUUUAACCAUAAACCUAUACACUGAAUUAUUGUAUGCUUAGUCUUUUAGGAUACGAAACGUAAUUUGUUCAGGUAUUAACGCAAGAAAUAUUCUAACGACCUAAAUCAUUCGUUGCCCCACGCAAAUUCUAUGAAUUAUUAUAAAGAACCACCCAAACCGCAAUAUAAAGAAAGUCGGGCCUUCGGUUUCAGGUGAUGCUUUCUUCAAUGUAGCUAACCCCACAAACAAAAUGUACCAGGGUUUUCCCGACCCCAUUAGUUAACAAUUGACCGCAGAAUACAAAUGGAAAGACGAUAAAACUGCACACCGAUAGAAAAUGUAACCACAAAAUACUACUUGAACUUCUCAAUUAUUUUAAAUUGACCAGUUAGUUAUACAACAUCUACUUCGGGAUAAUUACAUCAUCGUUAACCAACAAAUCAGUACAUGGAAAGAGGAUGACUUGAGAAAUCUAACCAUGGACAUAUGUACAUUUCUCCAUAUCCUUUCUUAGAAAGCUUCUUCAGGCUUAAGGAAAUUGUGAUAGUCCAGCUGGGCCAUCUCUCCACCAGUUGCCGGGUCAAACUUGCACCGAUAGAAACUGCAUGUAGUUCCAACAACAAAUCAAUUAUUCUACUCAUCUAAGAGAGUGAAGAAAACAUUUAAAUUUUUCGGUAAGUUGUAUUGUACAAUACUCGAUGGUAUUAAAGAAAAAAAUGAAACUUAUAUCUUCUUUAGUACUUGCCAGCUCUUUCCUAUAGUUUGUGGCAAACACGCCCUUAAUAGGGAAGAUGGCUUAAAGGGUAAUGUCUCUGUUGGACUGCAACGACUCACACAAGUACAGAUUGAGGUCCAUAUAAUACGGGGGGGUUGACGGGAAAAUUUGACAGUUUGUUUGAUUCCAAAGGUGGAAUUUGAGUGGAAAGAAAAUGAAUUUCAGAGAAUUGAAUUGAUGAGAAAUUAUUUUUUUGAGAAUUGUAAAUUAUUGUGUUUGAUUGACAUAAUUUUCCACAUAAAAAAUGUUAAAAUAAAAACAUUUUUUGGUGUUAGUUUGACUUUAUUUUAUAUAAAAAUUGUCAAUUAAAGAUAUAAAAUUUACUGGUAUUGGGGAUGAAAUUUGUUUCUAUUGCAAAAAAUUUAAAAUUAAAAAAUUCAAGAAAAUCAUCUAUGUUUUGAUGUUCGUUUGGCUUUGUUUUACUUGAAAAUUGUCAAUUAAAGGGAAAUAUUGUUUUACAAUAAUUCUUAGAAUUUGUUAACUUUGCCAAACAAAAUAAAAAUAAAAUAAAAUAAAAUAAAAUUACAUAUUUGCUACAGUAACCGGGAAAAUCAAUUCCCACCAUCCCUAAAAAGCUAGAAAAUUCCAAGGUCCAAGAAAAAAUGGAACUUCAAUUCCAUGGAAAAAAUAAAAUAAAAAAACCAUAUCAAACACUUGAAAGUGAGAAAAUGAAUUCAUUUUCCAUUUUCCAUGAAAAAGAUUUGCCAAUCAAACAUGACCUUAUAAACUUUCUAAGCCUAUAUAUGUUUCAUGUUUAUAAAUGGUUUACACACUUUUUGUUUACACAUUUCUAGGUUAAGCAUAACUAAACAUAUUAUAAGAGUAAAUUUGUCUUUUCAUGCCAAUUCAACUGUAUAUACAAGUCACAACACACACCUAAAAGCAGUACAAAAGAAGCUAAUGUACAAAUACUAUUUACCCUCAUAUAGCAACGUAGUUCGAGUGGAAGUCUUUCAAUUCGAUUGUUUGAAUUGCAUAGAACUUAAACUGUUAUCACUUUGUUACUUGGCAUCAAAUAAUUAAUAAUAUCAUGAUUGAAAAAUUACAGAGGCCCCAAAUUAUUAAAUUUGCUCAAAUAGAUCCUCAACCUUUCAUUCUUGUCAUUUAAAUCUUUCGCCCAGGUAAUCCCCAACUACGGAACCGACCGUUCUUUAAAUGCCGAGUGCCAUUAUUCAUGGGGAAUAUGAAUAUAACAUAAAUAGUUUUAAUAGAAGCCCGACCCCAACUAUUCGCUUCCCUGAGCCACCCGGCACUCUUUUCCUCGCAC
rnacentral:lncRNA from 1 species